rnacentral:rRNA from 1 species
UACGUAGGGGGCAAGCGUUGUCCGGAUUUACUGGGCGUAAAGAGCGUGUAGGCGGCCAAGCAGGUCCGUUGUGAAAACUGGAGGCUUAACCUCCAGACGUCGACGGAAACCGCGUGGCUAGAGUCCGGAAGAGGAGAGUGGAAUUCCUGGUGUAGCGGUGAAAUGCGCAGAUAUCGGGAGGAACACCAGUGGCGAAGGCGGCUACCUGGCCCACUCUUGACGCUGAGGCGCGAAAGCUAGGGGAGCAAACGGG